UUUUUAUGUAACCGUAAGUUUUCGUGUGCAACUUUGACCAUCUGUCUUAUUUAAAUUUUUCUUAUUAUUAUAAGAUGAUAAAACAUGAAUAACACUUUAUACGUGACUUAUGUUCUCAAAUUUUUUCAAAACUUUUUUAAAUAAGACGGACGGUCAAAGUUGGGCACGGAAAAUCAUGGCUGCACUUAUA
rfam:Oryza rufipogon genomic scaffold, chr01